UCCAAUGUGGUGUAGUGGUUAACAUUGCUGUCUUUCAUAAUGUAUUCACAGCAGCCCGGGGUUCGAUUCCCCGCAUUGGAA
rnacentral:tRNA from 1 species